rnacentral:tRNA from 5 species
UUCAUAGCAAGCUCGCACUAAUAUUUUUUAACUAUUAAGACUGGCUAUCUAGCUAUGC